UUCAGUCAGCCCGCUGCACGCUCGCUAAUGAGCAUAUCGUGCGAGCGUUAUCGUGCGAUGGAAACAGCUCGAUGAAUAAUAUCCACAAACGAGAAGUUACGAGAUCGUGCGAGAAUACUGGAAGGGAUGACGUAGACUCUAUUUUCUCGCGCAUGCUCAGUUUUUGAGCAGCCAUGUUUGGGCGCUGAGAUGUACACAGGCCCUCAUAGAAGUUGUGACCCCUAGCCCUCCUCUUCCAAUUGACCCCCCCCCUGAUCUUGACCUCAAGGAUGCAUCCUAGAAACAAGGUGCAGAGGUGUACACAGUCCUUCCUACAACUUGUAGAAGAUCCCGCACAGGCUUCACAACCAGUCAUGUGACCCCUAGCCCUCUUCCAACUGAUCGCCCCCUUGAUCUUGACCUCAAGAUGCAACCUGGAAACAAAAUUAAGCAUUGUGAUUUUAUCACCAUGAGGGAUGAAGUAGAAAAUUCAGCCUGUACAUCACAUCAAUCGUUCUUGCUGCUGGGGUGAAGGAUAAGUUGGCUCCUUGGCCCCAUUUAUGUACUAUGAAAUCUAAUGCCCUUGUAGCUAUCAUUACGGAACGUAAUACCGAUAUCUAAAUGACAGACUGUAUUUGUAGUGGUUGCAGAAAAAAAUAUGUUAGAAAAUUGAAAAACCCAAAAGACACGUAAAAAA